rnacentral:lncRNA from 1 species
ACACCCAAAGCCUUGCAUGAUCAUACGCAAACAGUAAAACUUGCGUAAACACUUAAAUUCAAAAAGACGCAAAGAGCAAACUUGCGCAAAUGUUUAAACAAAAGUACGCAGAAAGGGAAACUUAUACGAUACUUGAACGAAAAGGUGUUUACACACUACAAGAAAAAAGAGAUAUUGUGGCAUUUUUAUUACGGCGGUUUCUAAUAACUGCCACAAUACACGUUAUAUUACGUCGGUUUCUUAAUCGCCACAAUAAGUUAUUUUAAAACGGCGGUACAAAUUUUGAUCCUACGAGCUUUUUGACUAUUUUUCAGCAAAUCAGAAUUCCCUCCCCCAAAUUAAAUUCCCUCUCACUUCCCACAAAUUAGACGGACACACACACACUCUCUCCUCCUACUCUCACAAUUUGGCGAAACCCUAGGUUUUAAGCGCCUCACCUCAUCUUACGGUUGGAGAAAACAAAGAUUUGUUGCGGAUUGCAAAUAGGUAUAUCAACACUUAUCUUCUAAUUUCCCAGAUCUGUACGUGUUAUAUAUUUCCUAAUAUGGUAGAGAUUAUCCUAUGCAUGAGACACUUGAAAAUCCCUUUUUGCGUUUGUGAACAGUAUUAUGUAUUGUGUUGGUUUGUUUGUUCGUUUGUGAAACAUAUGUUGGAAUUUUUGUCUCUUAGUUAAGUGUGUGUGAUUCAUGUGAAUUUUGGUGUGUUGCUCAUUUUUGGGCAUUGCUGAUUAUAAAUUGUGUAAAUUGCAGCAACAGUUGAAGAUGUGCAUAUAAACUGUUUGAUAAAAAUCCUAAGUGACUGCCUUAAGUUAGUUUAAAAUUAUUUGAUGAUUAAGUGUCUGAUGCAAGUAUGCUUGGCUAUUUUCUGCUUAAGCAAUUCGAUUCGAUUGACAUGGUCUAUUAUUGACCAUGUUUUACUCUAAAAUUAAUUUUGUUACAUAUAGUGUCUAUGACUAGGCGUCCAAUGAACUUUAUUAUGUGAUGGUGCAUUUAUGCCGAUAUUUUGAAGAAAUUAAUUCCUUUUGAAUAUUUGUCUUUGUGCUUUGGCAAUUGCAUUCCACUACACAUGCUCAUCAUGCAAUUCCAGAAUGAAAGGUGAUGAUGUUUGUGUGCUAAAUCUUUGUGCUUCACAUCUUUGCAAUAGGCUGAAUGUUGAGCAAAAAAAACUAAUGAAGGCUAAAAUAGUUCAGUUAUAAAAUAGUCUGUUUGAAAGCUAAUUCAUGACCUGUAAAGGUACUUGCAAAUAGUUGGAUAGCACAAGCACUUCAGAUUUAGUAACUGAAAACCUUUGUAACACUUUGUUCAUAUUGAUAAGGUUAUAUAAAGAUUACUGACUAUUAUAGGAAAGGCAUUGGCAAGCCUAAGGAAGUUUAUUGCUAAUUUAAUUCGCAGAGUACAGAGGUAUUGCCAUAGAUUAAUAGGUAUGUAUGUUAAUUAUCACUUGGAAUAUUCCACAAAGGUACUUACUAAAUGUACAUUCUUUAGAUAUUUAUAAAUAUUUUGCUCUUAUGUUAAAGAAAUUCACCUAUUUGAAUUUGCAGGACUAGGAGCUUUGCAAGAGGACUCAAUUGGUUCAAUGAAAACAAGCUAUUCGUCAUCUGGUGAUGUUAUGAGUUUGGCUAGAAGGACUAAUAUGGUAGUGUAAUACGAUGUGCUUAGUGAUCAAUUCUAAAGAUAAAAUACAUCCUUAAUUAGGUGCUAAUGUUUUACAUCGUGAAAAUUUCAGAAAUUAGACACCAGGGAAAGAUAUUGAUCGAGGCGAAUAUUGGAUUGGAACUCAUAAGCGGCCAGAUGGGAGUUAUGUGAAUGAAGAGGCUAGAGAAAUUGUACUAAAUAGUAGGUUGAUUGCUUGUAUUUUUUAGUUAUGAUAUUUAUCAUAUAAUAAUAGACUAUUUGUAUAAGAUUUAAGUAUUCUUUUAUCUUUCGUUUUGGAGAAAAUUGAAGGAUAGUGUUCGAGGUUAGACUUGGGUGCAGUUUUGACUGUAGUAUUCGAGCAAACUUCUAUACGACUUAGUCUUUGGAGAUAUCCCCGAGUAGUUAGCUGGCUUAUUUCCUACUGCUCCACAGGUAUAGUACUCAUCUUUUCUUAUUUUCUUUUCUGCUGGGGCUUGAAAUAUACACUCUUGACGCUACUAGCUCUUUGUAUGUGUGUUAAGGAAAACUAAUAUUGAAGGAUCUAAUAGUGUAUGAGUUAACUGAACGAGUAUACUUUUAGAAGUUGCAUGACAUAUACUUGAUAAAGGA